rnacentral:rRNA from 1 species
AUUGAACGCUGGCGGCAGGCCUAACACAUGCAAGUCGAGCGGCUCGGCGGUCGGGUGCGUAAUGCCUAUGAAUCUGCCUGUUCGUGGGGGAUAACGUCCGGUAACGGGCACUGUUACUGCAUCCUCUCAGCUUCGCCUAGGUCGGAUUAGCUAGUUGGUGGGGUAAGGGCCUACCAAGGCGACGAUCCGUAACUGGUCUGAGAGGAUGAUCAGUCACACUGGAACUGAGACACGGUCCAGACUCCUACGGGAGGCAGCAGUGGGGAAUAUUGGACAAUGGGCGAAAGCCUGAUCCAGCCAUGCCGCGUGUGUGAAGAAGGUCUUCGGAUUGUAAAGUACUUUCAGCGGGGAGGCGUUACCCGCAGAAGAAGCACCGGCUAACUCCGUGCCAGCAGCCGCGGUAAUAC